GAUGAACGCUGGCGGCGUGCUUAACACAUGCAAGUCGAACGGUGAAGCAGAGCUUGCUCUGUGGAUCAGUGGCGAACGGGUGAGUAACACGUGAGCAACCUGCCCCGGACUCUGGGAUAAGCGCUGGAAACGGCGUCUAAUACCGGAUACGAGAUUCCACCGCAUGGGGAGUUUCUGGAAAGAUUUUUUGGUCUGGGAUGGGCUCACGGCCUAUCAGCUUGUUGGUGAGGUAAUGGCUCACCAAGGCGUCGACGGGUAGCCGGCCUGCGAGGGUGACCGGCCACACUGGGACUGAGACACGGCCCAGACUCCUACGGGAGGCAGCAGUGGGGAAUAUUGCACAAUGGGCGGAAGCCUGAUGCAGCAACGCCGCGUGAGGGAUGACGGCCUUCGGGUUGUAAACCUCUUUUAGCAGGGAAGAAGCGAAAGUGACGGUACCUGCAGAAAAAGCGCCGGCUAACUACGUGCCAGCAGCCGCGGUAAUAC
rnacentral:rRNA from 1 species